rnacentral:rRNA from 1 species
AGUGAACGCUGGCGGCAGGCCUAACACAUGCAAGUCGAACGGCAGCACAGUAAGCGCUUGCCUUUACGGGUGGCGAGUGGCGGAUGGGUGAGGCAUACAUCGGAAUCUACUAUUUCGUGGGGGAUAACGUAGGGCCACUUACGCUAAUACCGCAUACGACCUACGGGUGAAAGCAGGGGUUCUUCGGACCUUGCGUGAUUGAAUGAGCCGAUGUCGGAUUAGCUAGUUGGCGGGGUAAAGGCCCACCAAGGCAACGAUGCGUAGCCGAUCUGAGAGGAUGAUCGGCCACACUGGAACUGAGACACGGUCCAGACUCCUACGGGAGGCAGCAGUAGGGAAUAUUGGACAAUGGGCGCAAGCCUGACGGAGCCAUACCGCGUGAGUGAUGAAGGUCUUCGGGUCGUAAAGCUCUUUUGUUGGGAAAGAAAAGCUGUAUGUGUAAACCCGGCCGUUUUGACGGUACCCAAAGAGAAAGCACCGGCUAACUUCGUG